CCUACGGGUGGCAGCAGUGAGGAAUAUUGGUCAAUGGGCGCGAGCCUGAACCAGCCAAGUAGCGUGAAGGAUGACUGCCCUACGGGUUGUAAACUUCUUUUAUAAAGGAAUAAAGUGAGGCACGGGUGCCUUUUUGCAUGUACUGUAUGAAUAAGGAUCGGCAAACGCCGUGCCAGCAGCCGCGGUAAUACGGAGGAUCCGCGCGUUCUCCGGAGUUAUUGGGUUUAAAGGGAGCGUAGAUGGGUUGUUAAGUCAGUUGUGAAAGUUUGCGGCUCAACCGUAAAAUUGCAAUUGAUACUGGCAGUCUUGAGUACAGUUGAGGUAGGCGGAAUUCGUGGUGUAGCGGUGAAAUGCUUAGAUAUCACGAAGAACCCCGAUUGCGAAGGCAGCUUACUAAACUGUGACUGACAUUGAUGCUCGAAAGUGUGGGUAUCAAACAGGAUUAGAUACCCUUGUAGUC
rnacentral:rRNA from 1 species